CUCAAAGAGGGGGACAACAGUUGGAAACGACUGCUAAUACCGCAUAAGCCCACGACCCGGCAUCGGGUAGAGGGAAAAGGAGCAAUCCGCUUUGAGAUGGCCUCGCGUCCGAUUAGCUAGUUGGUGAGGUAACGGCCCACCAAGGCGACGAUCGGUAGCCGGACUGAGAGGUUGAACGGCCACAUUGGGACUGAGACACGGCCCUGACUCCUACGGGAGGCAGCAGUGGGGAAUAUUGCACAAUGGGGGAAACCCUGAUGCAGCGACGCCGCGUGGAGGAAGAAGGUCUUCGGAUUGUAAACUCCUGUUGUUGAGGAAGAUAAUGACGGUACUCAACAAGGAAGUGACGGCUAACUACGUGCCAGCAGCCGCGGUAAAACGUAGGUCACAAGCGUUGUCCGGAAUUACUGGGUGUAAAGGGAGCGCAGGCGGGAAGACAAGUUGGAAGUGAAAUCCAUGGGCUCAACCCAUGAACUGCUUUCAAAACUGUUUUUCUUGAGUAGUGCAGAGGUAGGCGGAAUUCCCGGUGUAGCGGUGGAAUGCGUAGAUAUCGGGAGGAACACCAGUGGCGAAGGCGGCCUACUGGGCACCAACUGACGCUGAGGCUCGAAAGUGUGGGUAGCA
rnacentral:rRNA from 1 species